CCACCGAAUGCCUAAGGUUUCCUGAGGAAGGCUCGUCCGCUCAGGGUUAGUCGGGACCUAAGCCGAGGCCGAAAGGCGUAGGCGAUGGACAACAGGUUGAUAUUCCUGUACCACCUCCUCACCAUUUGAGCAAUGGGGGGACGCAGGAGGAUAGGGUAAGCGCGGUAUUGGAUAUCCGCGUCCAAGCAGUUAGGCUGGGAAAUAGGCAAAUCCGUUUCCCAUAAGGCUGAGCUGUGAUGGCGAGCGAAAUAUAGUAGCGAAGUUCCUGAUUCCACACUGCCAAGAAAAGCCUCUAGCGAGGUGAGAGGUGCCCGUACCGCAAACCGACACAGGUAGGCGAGGAGAGAAUCCUAAGGUGAUCGAGAGAACUCUCGUUAAGGAACUCGGCAAAAUGACCCCGUAACUUCGGGAGAAGGGGUGCUCUGUUAGGGUGCAAGCCCGAGAGAGCCGCAGUGAAUAGGCCCAGGCGACUGUUUAGCAAAAACACAGGUCUCUGCGAAGCCGUAAGGCGAAGUAUAGGGGCUGACGCCUGCCCGGUGCUGGAAGGUUAAGAGGAGCGCUUAGCGUAAGCGAAGGUGCGAAUUGAAGCCCCAGUAA
rnacentral:rRNA from 1 species